GCUCCCACCACCUCCUGAUCCAGCGCAGGCAGAGGGACAAGGCACUUUUUGGAAGCUUGGUUUCUUCAAAGAGAGAGAAUUCAGCUCUUUGAUCCCACUUUUCCCUGCUAAAGAAAGGCUGUGGCUUCUGAAUUCAAGACGUGAACAAAGUCUGCAGGAGUCCUGAGAACUCAAGGAGAGAAAAGGUCACCACAAACCUGAAAGAACUGGAGCUGUUUCUCUAAACUCCAGAAGAAGGGGUGUUUCAGCACACAGCUGGCAGACGGCCGUUUCUGAGGGUCCAUGUUUAUCAUCUGCUCGAUUAAAUCACGAGCAACUAUGUCUUCUGCAAGGAAAAGGGUGCAGGGAAAUUUAUGGGCCUCCAGGCUGUAGGCUCCCAGCAGGAUGUUGGCUUGCCGCUGCAGGGACUUGCCAAAGGGGUGGCCACCUUCUGACACCACGUAAUAGAAGACACAGCCAGCUGAGAAGAUGUCCACGGUGUAGGUCUGCAAAGAAACAACCUUUAAGAGCAAGGACAUAUUUUUCCCCCUGAAGACUCUGAUCAUCACAGGGUGGUUAUUUUCCAUCUUGGAGCAGAAGGAAAUUUCCAGAAUGGCACACUGAGCUGCAACGGAGCCUGAAGGCCCAGGCACCAAGUCCUGUGCAUUGCAGGGUCUGGGCUGCUCCUGGGGAAGGGGGAGGACUUACAGGGUUCUCUUUGCAGUCCUCACUCAGCAUCUCUGGAGCGAUCCAGCCCUCGGUGCCCGGCACGCCCGAGCGGCGGCUGAAGCUGUGCCGACCCACCGCCAGCUUCUUGCACAGCCCGAAGUCUGAAAUCAUGGCCUUGACCCUCCCGUGGGCAUUGGGCAUCGAGAUCAGGAUGUUGUGGGGCUUCAGGUCUCUGUGGACUGUUACAAACACCCAUUUACCACUCAAGCACUCCCAAUAUUUGCAUCUCUUUCAGUGAACCUUUCCUAGGGCUGAACUUUGGCUUGUUAAACCGAAGUGCUGACUUCAAAGGAUUGUCAUCACUUUUUUAUUCCAUCACCACUAGUCCUCAUAUUCUAUAUGACUUCUAUCCAAGAAAUGCAGCCCCCUGCACUAACAGUAAGGACUAGCUUCAGUACUCCAGGGCAGCAGAAUGUUACAGGGACAAGGCUGGCAUCAAAUCACAGAAUCACAGAAUGGUUUGGGUUCCAAGGGACCUUUAAAGAGCAUCUCAUUCCAACCCCCCUGCCACGGGCAGGGCCACCUUCCACUAGGCCAGGUGGGUAGACCAGAACCAGAGCAGUUUCUCUUCUUUUUCCAGUGCAGAGAACGUCCCCCUCAUGCAGCCCUGCCAGGAGAGGCUCUCACCGAUGCUCAGGGAGUGCAGGUACGCCAGCCCAGACGUCGUCUGCUGCAGGACAGUGAUGGGCUGUAAGCCAUGGUGGCUGAAGGCCUUUUGCUCAACAUACUGCAACAGAGAACAAGCAGAGUCAGCCCCAACACUGCUCAGCAGCUGCAUAAAUGGUAAAUCCAUGCACUUCACCCCCCCCCCGAAAGGUUCAACUGGGUACGUUGUGCCAGCUGGUAACACAGGGAAAAGAGCUUUGUUUUGGCUGAAGGUGCUGAUCUCUAAGUGUCAUUUCAGGGCUAGAAUUCUGUAGAGCACUGUGCUCCACCAACAAGGGCAGAGAGCUUUCAAAAGUCUGGGUGGUAGGAGGGGGAGAAUGACUAGAAAAAAAAAUCAAAAGACAACAGUGUCUGUCCUUAAAUCAGUCCAGGGUUAGGGAUGUCUUCCUGAUGGUCUGAAAACACCCCUGUCCCAGGAAUGUGGAAUUGUCACAGAGGUGACGGUGGCAGUAACUGGAACAUCCCUGUGUCAGGCAUUGAGCAGCUGAAGCUGGAGGGCAGUGAGGGCCUUGCAGGGAGCAGUUCCCCGUGUCACCUCCUGCAGCGUGGCCGCGCAGAGCUCGAUGGCGAUGUACUGGAACUGCCGGUCCCGCUCCGUGCAGAAGUACCGGAUCACGUUCGGGUGCUCGUCCGACUCCCGCAGCAGCUGCACCUCCCGGUCUGCGAAGCUGAAGCACUCGGGGAGGAUCCUCUUCACUGCCACAUCCCGGUUGUCAAAGGUGCCCCUGCAGGCAGCGAGGGAAACCACACCAACCUUCACACUGUGCACAAGGCGUGGCCAGAGGAAUCAGGGACGUCUGGGCACUAAACAUUUCUUAGGGAAGUACAUAAAAGUUUUUGCUGCUGAAGAAAAUGCAUGAAAAUACUCCAGACACAUGCAGAAAGUUUCACUUCUGUUCACAUUAGGUAUGUGAGGGCAUUUAUAAAAAAUAAAUUAAAAGGGCCUAAUGCAAACACAA